rnacentral:rRNA from 1 species
GAUGAACGCUAGCGAUAGGCUUAACACAUGCAAGUCGAGGGGCAGCAUGGUCUUAGCUUGCUAAGACUGUUGGCGACCGGCGCACGGGUGCGUAACGCGUAUGCAACUUGCCUCACAGAGGGGGAUAACCCGUCGAAAGACGGACUAAUACCGCGUACACUUGGGAUAGGGCAUCCUGACCCAAGGAAAUGAAAUUCGCUGUGAGAUAGGCAUGCGUCCCAUUAGCUAGUUGGUGAGGUAACGGCUCACCAAGGCGACGAUGGGUAGGGGAACUGAGAGGUUGAACCCCCACACUGGUACUGAGACACGUACCAGACUCCUACGGGAGGCAGCAGUGAGGAAUAUUGGUCAAUGGGCGAGAGCCUGAACCAGCCAAGUCGCGUGAAGGAUGACUGUCUUAUGGAUUGUAAACUUCUUUUAUACGGGAAUAACAAGAGUCACGUGUGGCUCCCUGCAUGUACCGUAUGAAUAAGCAUCGGCUAACUCCGUG